rnacentral:rRNA from 1 species
UACGUAGGCAGCAAGCGUUGUUCGGAAUUACUGGGCGUAAAGAGUGUGUAGGUGGUGUCGUAGGUUUGGUGUGAAAUCUCCCGGCUUAACUGGGAGGGUGCGCCGAAGACUGCGAUGCUGGAGUAUGGGAGAGGAAAGCGGAAUUCCUGGUGUAGCGGUGAAAUGCGUAGAUAUCAGGAGGAACACCUGCGGUGUAGACGGCUUUCUGGACCAUUACUGACACUGAGACACGAAAGCGUGGGUAGCAAACAGG